ACACAUGCAAGUCGAACGGAGAACAUUGAGCUUGCUUAAUGUUCUUAGUGGCGGACGGGUGAGUAACACGUGAGUAACCUGCCUCUGAGAGUGGGAUAGCUUCUGGAAACGGAUGGUAAUACCGCAUAACAUCAUGGAUUCGCAUGUUUCUAUGAUCAAAGAUUUAUCGCUUAGAGAUGGACUCGCGUCUGAUUAGCUAGUUGGUAAGGUAACGGCUUACCAAGGCGACGAUCAGUAGCCGGACUGAGAGGUUGAUCGGCCACAUUGGGACUGAGACACGGCCCAGACUCCUACGGGAGGCAGCAGUGGGGAAUAUUGCACAAUGGGGGAAACCCUGAUGCAGCGAUGCCGCGUGGAGGAAGAAGGUUUUCGGAUUGUAAACUCCUGUUGAAGAGGACGAUAAUGACGGUACUCUUUUAGAAAGCUCCGGCUAACUACGUGCCAGCAGCCGCGGUAAUACGUAGGGAGCGAGCGUUGUCCGGAAUUACUGGGUGUAAAGGGAGCGUAGGCGGGAUGGCAAGUCAGAUGUGAAAACUAUGGGCUCAACCCAUAGACUGCAUUUGAAACUGUUGUUCUUGAGUGAGGUAGAGGUAAGCGGAAUUCCUGGUGUAGCGGUGAAAUGCGUAGAGAUCAGGAGGAACAUCGGUGGCGAAGGCGGCUUACUGGGCCUUUACUGACGCUGAGGCUCGAAAGCGUGGGGAGCAAACAGGAUUAGAUACCCUGGUAGUCCACGCCGUAAACGAUGAUUACUAGGUGUGGGGGGACUGACCCCUUCCGUGCCGCAGUUAACACAAUAAGUAAUCCACCUGGGGAGUACGGCCGCA
rnacentral:rRNA from 1 species